rnacentral:rRNA from 1 species
AUUGAACGCUGGCGGUAUGCUUUACACAUGCAAGUCGAACGGUAGUCCUUCGGGAUGAGAGUGGCGAACGGGUGAGUAAUAUAUCGGAACAUAUCCGUAAGUGGGGGAUAACGUAGCGAAAGUUACGCUAAUACCGCAUAUUCCCUGAGGGGGAAAGGAGGGGAUUCGCAAGAACCUUUCGCUGACGGAGUGGCCGAUAUCGGAUUAGCUAGUAGGUGAGGUAAAGGCUCACCUAGGCGACGAUCCGUAGCGGGUCUGAGAGGAUGAUCCGCCACACUGGAACUGAGACACGGUCCAGACUCCUACGGGAGGCAGCAGUGGGGAAUUUUGGACAAUGGGCGCAAGCCUGAUCCAGCCAUACCGCGUGAGUGAAGAAGGCCUUCGGGUUGUAAAGCUCUUUCAGCCGGAAAGAAAUCGCACUUACUAAUACUAAGUGUGGAAGACGGUACCGGAAGAAGAAGCACCGCA